GACUCAGUGUCUUCUGAUUUAAUUUCACAUAGUGAUUUACACUAAUUAUUAUUGAUGCCUUAUGUAGGUGGACAAACUAAUUUAAUAGAUUCAUUAUACCAGUUAAAAUUAAUAUGAGAAUACAAAUAAAUCUCAAGGUUUGAAAAACUAGGAAACAAUAGAACAAAGUGAAAAUAAAAGUAUUCAUAAUAAAAUGAUGAGUUUACCAAAUGAAUGUAUUGAUAAGUUUGACAAAUAUUUAGUUGGGGAUGUUGUAACAAAAAGCAUUGCUAUGUUUAUUGGGAAAACUUUUUCAGAAAGUACAAUUCUUAAAAAUUAGAGUAGUGAUUUACUUUUUUUUUUUUUUUUUAGUCGGUCAUGGGGCC